rnacentral:lncRNA from 1 species
GAAUUAAAAAUGGGAGACUUUUUCAAUGAUGCAGGAGAAGACGGAUAUGUUGAUGCGCGAUUAAUGGAAACUAAGAAACUCGAUGAAAAAAAGGGCCUCAUUGUUCAAGGAGUGGAGUUUCGUCCCGAAUGAAGAAGAGAAGAAUCCUCCUCUAACUAUGCCCUUUUGUUUUGGUUUCAUUUUGAUAUUGAGGGGUGCUUACCAUCCGAGCAACUCCCUCUCGUCAAACAUUUUAAUAUGAUUCUACAAGUUUUACUUUUUUUACAGUCCAAAAGAGGCGCUACAUUUUUGUUUUAGAAGAGAGUAUAACAACAUUAUGAGUAUCUAUUUCUUCCCAAGUAACUUAAAACAAAUCAAAGUUUAAAUACUACGAUCUUUCCAUCUCAAAUUAUUUGUCAUGAUUUUUUAAAAUAAUCAUCUCGACUUUUUUGUCAUUUUAGAAGUUCAAGAUAAAAUUAAUUAUUUAUUUCAUAUUUUAGCUAGAGAGUAGUAAUAUUCUUGAAACUACAAGCACUUCAAUACAUAAGUAGAGAAAAUAUUCAAUUUAAAGAGAUUAUAUAAAUAAGUAGAGAAAUUGUAUUUGAUUGCGUAGGCGGGCAUUAUUUAUGGGAGGGUGCCCACCUAGUGUCAUUGUGCAUGUAUGAGAUCUCGCACAAGUAAUAUCAUAUUUGAUGACUUGAAAUACGAAGAUGAUAAGAAGUUCCCAUAAAGACUAUGAAUAGUUUUUACGAUGCUUUUCUGAGUUUAGAGGUGAAGAUACGCGUAGAACAAUAGUUUUAACAAUCCUAAUUAAAUAUUAAUAUGGUCAUCUUCAAACUUUUACAUUGACAUUGGAUACAACACAACUCCAAUUAAUUGGUCCAUAUUGAAGAUAUCCAUUACUAGGCCUACCGAUUUAAUAGUACUAGAGAAAUUCCAUCCUCAAAUUUGGUGGAAAAUAUCAAACAUUAAGCUUUCAAUGUCAUAACAACUUAGAGUAAUUAAUUAAUAAUCUUAUCAGAUUACCAUAAUAUUUUGUUAUUCAAUAGUACUAUAUAUUUAGUUUAGUUUCUAACGUAAUAACUAAAAUAGGGGACCUUUGUAAUUUUGUAUCGUGACACCUUUAUCUAGACGAUAUGUUAUUUGUCUCUGAUUGAGCCUGAUAUAUGCUAAGGCAAAAUUUUCAUCAGAAAUUUUAUCAUUUACUAUAUUUGAAAUCGAUGAUAUUGUAUCUAUACGUCGCAAUAGACGAUGGUUUAAUUAUUAGUCCAAAAAAAAUCAUCGUUUAGUGUAUUGCACACCAAUUUUUCAGCCCAGCAGACUCUUUUAGAGAAAAACUUCAUUCCUUUUUAGUUGUCAUGAUUUUCUUUUUUAGAUUCAAAUGAUAAGAAUUUUGACUAACAAUUUACGAUGUAUUUUUUAUCAUAUUGAUAUGCAAAAAAUUGUAAUUUAUAGUAAUUUUCGUAUAGUUUUUGAAUAUCUAAAAUUUUAAUUUAAAAUAUCGAAUUAAUAUAAUCUAAUUUAACUUUGAAAAUUAGUCAAAUUAUCUUUCGGAAAGCGCAACAUUACAACGAAAAAGGAAUGGAGGCCGAGUAUCAAAUAUAUGGUAUUACUUAAUUGUGCGAGAUCUAAUAUACGAUGACGUACACUUAGAGGUCGUUUGAUAGGGUGUAUAAAAAUAAUGUUAAAUAGAGUAUUAGUUAUGCUUGUAUUCACUAUACAUAAAUUAUUUUUUAUGCAUUGUUUGGUUUGGUGUACAAAAAAUAACAUGAAUUGCAUAAAAAAUUUCAUUUAUAAAAAUAUCCUCCACAAUUAUGAUGGAAAAGAUGUAAAAAGGGGUUUUGAGGGGUAAUUGAGGUUGUAACCAUACUAAUACAUGUAUUGAAUCUCUUUGUGUUACUAAUACCUAGAAAUCAAUGAUAUUAGUAAUACACUCUUUCAUACACAAUAAAGUGUAUAACUAAUGCAUGCAAACAAGAUACUAUUAAUACACAGAGUUAAUGCGUGCAUUAUUUUUGCUAAUACACUCCACUGACACCUCAAGAUUUUUCUUGGCUUUUUUCGCCAAGGUCUAAGUCAAAAGUCUUCUUACCUGUAUUUUGUACGACCUCACUAAUGAAAAAGUAGGUUACAUUUUCAUGACUUUGAAAUAGAAUUAUAGAAACAUGAUAAGACCAUAAAGACUAUGAAUAAAUAGUGAAAAAAUUAGGUAAAGUGUUGUUCUUCAUUAAGUUGAGAAUUUCCCUAUUAGUUUUUAGCAAUUGUAACUAAUACUCUUCAACAAUGUCAAACACUUCUUCUUCCAAAAUUCAAAAGUACGAUGCUUUUCUGAGUUUUAGAGGUGUAGAUAUACGUAGAACAUUUGUGAGUCAUCUCCAUAACGCUUUAAUACAAGGAGGAAUUAAUGUUUUCAAAGACGAUGAACGUCUAGAAACUGGAAAAUUAAUUUCUGAUGAACUACCAAAAGCCAUAGAAGAGUCUAAAUUUGCUAUAGUGAUAUUUUCUGAAAGCUAUGCAUCGUCAAAAUGGUGUUUAGACGAGCUUGCACACAUCAUAAAGUGUCGAAAGGAAUUGGAUCAAAUCGUAAUUCCUAUUUUCUAUAAUGUGGAUCCAUCAGAUGUGCGUCAUCAAACUCAAACUUUUGCUGAGUCUUUUACCAAACAUGAGGAAAAAUAUAAAGAUGAUAUGGAGAAAAUUCAAAGAUGGAGGGAUGCAUUUGCUGAGUCUGGGAAAAUAGUAGGGCACCAUUUGCAAAAUUACAAGUAAGAUUAUUUUUCUUUUUCUCUUUAUUCCCCCUCCGUAACAAUAUAGAUCUCUUAAUUUGAUUGGACACGGAAUUUUUUUAAAAAAAUAAAGAGAAAUUUUGUGGUUUUAAACUUGUCGUGUAGAUUGUUGGAAUUGAAAAACACACUAAAUAUAGAAAGAGAAUCUCUUAUGGACAAAUCAAAAAGGAAAGUAAGACACUUAGCUUGCGUUUAGACAUGCCAUAUGAAGUCCUAAUUUCAAAUCAAUGUUUGGGCAUGUGUUUGGAAUCCCAAAUUUUCCAUAUAAAAAAAACAUGAUUUGAGAUUCCAAAUCAUGUUUUUGGAGAAUGAUUUCAGAUUCUAAUCUCAAAAUCUCAUAUUCAAAUAUUGAUUUGAAAUCGUGACUUCAUAUCGUAUAUCCGUAUGCAAACUUAAAUUAGAAUAUAUAUAAGGAAUAGUAUUUUUCGAGCUUUGCCUUCUUGGGUGAUUCAAGAAACAUAUUGUUUUAUUGUUGUGCAAAAAUAAUUAAAAUUAAUAAAAUAAGGUAUAUAUAAUAUCAUAAAGAGAGUAUACCCUAAAUAUAAAUUCUAUAAUCUUGUAUUCUCUUUAUGCCUUAUGUGACAUAAUCCAUUCAAAAAAAAAUAUCACUUUUAUAUUAAUAGAAGGAAUUUAACUUUAAAUUUUCUUUUGUACCCUUAAUCAAAUGAUCAUUUACAACUCCACACAAGUGUGUAAGGUUCUUUUUAGAUCAUAAAUUUCAAAUUUUGUUCUUUUCUUUCUUAAAUUUUAUGUCAAAUCAAAUGAUAUCACAUAAAUUGAGACAGAAAAAAGUUUGAUUUCUAAAUUUCGAUCUAAAUAAUUGUUCUUUUUAUUGUAACAUUUAGGGAUGAGGCAGAUUGCAUCAAAAAGGUUGUUGACGAACUAAUGUCAUCAUUACAUAUUAAAUCUGAUGACGAUGAUGACGCUAGGGAUCGGGGCGUGGACGCUAAAUCUCCAAUUCUUAUUGAUGAAGGGAAAAUGGUAUUUUUUCUUUUAUAAUUUGAAUUCAUGACUAGCCUUCCCCAUUCAUAAGGGCUGUUAGGUGGCCUGGGCCUGGAACCAGGCCACCAAACAUGUAGUUAAUUAUUGGCAUGAAUACAAAUAAGUCUGACUAAUUGUACAAUGAAAAUGACCCUCAUGGCUAUUGAUGUGUUUUAUGUAUGGUAUAAUGCGCGGCCAGUUGUAGCUAGUCAUGUCAAGUGAGCUGGAUUGGCAUGUGCUGAGCCCAAUCAUACACCAUAAGAAUAUGCCAGACCCGUUACUGGCCUGGCCCAUUCAUAAGGGCUAUUAAGUGGUCUAUAAGACCUUUUUCAAAUUGUUUUAUAAUUUAUAAUGUUUUAUGUUUGUGAUUUGAUAUGUCAAAUAGAGUUUUUCACGAGAUAAGAAGACGGGAAAGAAAUGUUUCAUGAUAGCAGCAAGAGGACUUGAUAUUGAAUGGAGUAAUACACCAGACUAUUGGGAAUGGUUACCUCACUCUGACUCCAGGUUUUAUAUAUUUGCGAUAUCUUUCUAUGUACUAGUAUAAAAUUUGAAAGGAAUUAGUAAUAAUUAUUGAUAAAGGUGAAUUUUUUUUGUAGAUUCGGGGAAGUGGCUAAACUCAAGUGGGUUUGUUGGCUUGAUAUUCGAGGCAAAAUUGAAACUCGAAGACUAUCAAAAAGAACCAAAUAUGUUGCUUAUCUAGUGUUCAAAUUGGAAGAUAAAUUCCAUGGCCUUGAAACCGUUAAUGCAGUUGUUAGAUUUGUUGAUUCUAUGAGUGUAAAGGAAGCGGAACAACGAGCUAGUGUUGUACAUUUUGCAGGACGAGGACCUAGAGAGACACUACCCUUCAAAAGAGGUGAUGGAUGGAUGGAAUUAAAAAUGGGAGACUUUUUCAAUGAUGCAGGAGAAGACGGAGAUGUUGAUGCUCGAUUAAUGGAGACUCAGCGUCUCGAAGCAAAAGGUGGCCUCAUUGUUCAAGGAGUGGAGUUUCGCGCCGAAUGAAGAAGAGAAGAAUCCUCCUCUUACUAUGCCUUUUUGUUUUGGUCUUAUUUGGAUUGAUUCAAGUACUUUUAUAUACGGCCCUUCUAGAGGAGCGUAUU